rnacentral:lncRNA from 1 species
UCUCAGCAUCUAAACCCAGGCUGCUAUGCUACUAUAGGAAGUCCCACAACUGGUCAGACUGUUGUCUCCAUAAAAGGAUGGCCAUCAUCUUCAGCUGCGCUCUUGAAAUGGAACUGCCUGGCAAGCUUCUAUGUUUCCCUGACACUGAACUCAUCAUUAUUGUCAGCAUCAGUCAUCAUGGUGAGUCACCAUUAUUACCAUCAGAGCCAAGCAAAAAUAUUCGGGACUCAUGGGAUCACUGAGAAGAUUGAGGUCACCCGGGGCCACUGGACCACAGUCAGCAACAUGUGGUGUGGACCUGACCUGGGAUUCCCUUGUAGCUGGAGCAGAGGACAAACGACCCCAAGAAGUGUCCUUUCUGUGAUCUGCAAAGCAAUCCAUUGCCAGUGCAAGUGUCUUCUGUUCUUCUUAGUGUACCCACUGAGAUUUGGGGUUCGGGCAACUGGAGCAAAUACUGAUACUGUGGCUGCUGCUGUUGCCCCAUGCCCGAGUGUUGUCCUCAAGUGGAUUCGACCCAAACUUCUGUGAGAUAAAGGCUUGAUCAUAACCAGGAGACAUCAGGUCAUCUCAGGGGACAAGCCACAGACUUCGACAGUUUCUUCAGUGACCCACGCACGGGUAGGACAUUCCACAACAGUUCUUGGAUCCUAGCACGAG